GAUACCAGGGUCAAAAACUCCAGGCUCCACCUGAGUUUGCUCAAAGGUGGAGCCUGGAGUUUGGGACCCGCCCAAGUAUGAGCAUAAAAGUGGGACGCAAGUCCCACGAUAUGCGAAUAUUUGGGUAGGAUUGCGAGAGCAGGUCCUGCGUAGCAAUCCGUAGGUAUC
rnacentral:sRNA from 1 species